rnacentral:rRNA from 1 species
GCCAGACUCCUACGGGAGGCAGCAGUGGGGAAUAUUGCACAAUGGGGGGAACCCUGAUGCAGCGACGCCGCGUGGGCGAGGAAGUAUUUCGGUAUGUAAAGCCCUAUCGGCAGGGAAGGAGAAAUGACGGUACCUGAAUAAGAAGCACCGGCUAAAUACGUGCCAGCAGCCGCGGUAAUGCGUAUGGAGCAAGCGUUAUCCGGAUUUACUGGGUGUAAAGGGAGCGCAGGCGGCCUUGCAAGUCUGAUGUGAAAGGCCGGGGCCCAACCCCGGGACUGCAUUGGAAACUGCGAGGCUGGAGUGUCGGAGAGGCAGGCGGAAUUCCUAGUGUAGCGGUGAAAUGCGUAGAUAUUAGGAGGAACACCAGUGGCGAAGGCGGCCUGCUGGACGAUGACUGACGUUGAGGCUCGAGAGCGUGGGGAGCAAACAGGAUUAGAUACCCCUGUA